rnacentral:rRNA from 1 species
UACGUAGGGACCGAGCGUUGUCCGGAUUCAUUGGGCGUAAAGAGCUCGUAGGCGGCUGCUCAAGUCGAAUGUGAAAACUCGAGGCUCAACCUCGAGCCUGCAUUCGAUACUGGGCGGCUAGAGUCUGGUAGGGGGAUCUGGAAUUCCUGGUGUAGCGGUGAAAUGCGCAGAUAUCAGGAAGAACACCAAUGGCGAAAGCAGCUUUCUGGGACGGUACUGACGCUGAGACGCGAAAGCGUGGGGAGCGAACAGG